UGUGAAAUGUGAGCAUGGUUAUGAGCAUAGAGUGACGGUGGUUUUAGCGGGAAGGAUGAGACGCGGAGGAACUGGACAAACAAAGCAUGCGACAGCACAGAGAGAGGCACUUGGCCGAGUCCAGAUAGAGGUUUAAUGGAGGACACCAAUAUGUUGGGACAAAGCUAAACAAAUGCCUACGUACUUAUAUAAUAAAGACAAAGUGCAUAGAAAUGUGCAUAAUAUAUAGACCAAAUAAUCUGUUAAAAUGAAAUAUUUAGACUGUAUAUAUGGCGUGCUUAUAAUUAUCUGAAUAAUAUAUUAACUGAGAUAAUAAAAAUCAAAUCAAGACAAAAAUCAAAAUUGCAAUGGACUAUGCUUCCUUCGUCUCGGUUGUUUUGGCUGGUGUCCCAUUGAAAAAGGGUUAUUCUUGUGGUCAAUUGCUUUAGGCCGGCUUGUCGUUCAUCCCGGACUAUAGGUCAACUCAAACCAAACAUUUUAAUUUAGAGAAAUCUCAUCCAACUCCAAACUACUAAAGAAUCCCUGGUCGACCACAAUUAAUAAAUAAAUAAAAGGAAAUGAAUUUUUAAUACAUUUGACUAGUGAAUAUUGUCUUUUCAUCAAAAGGCAACUUCAAAAACUGAUACGAAAAAAUUACAUAUGGUUUGAUCUAAAUCAGUGAUUCUAAUUGAAAUGUAAAUGAAAUUUAGUGAAUAACUUAAUGAAACGAAAAUAUUAAAAAAAAAAUUGCAGGAUAUACAACAGGUGCAAUUUGGAAAUUACAUCAUAUUGAGACCUGAGACUAAACAAAAUGAGUUCAAUUCGUCGAGUCCUUGCUCUUUUUUCUCUCUCUUUUAUCUUUAAAUGCCUCUAAUUUUGGAAGAUGACCGUUAUAGCUUGUUUAAAUUAUGUUGGGUGAUUCUAAUUUCACUAUGCAAGAACGGGUUGCAAUGUUUUUAAUUCCGAGUCAAUAACUUCAUGCAAUUGUUCCUUUUAUCAUCAGCUCUUUAAUAUUUCACCAUCAUUAUGUUGUAUUUCUCGAGUUUGAUUUAAUAGGUUUUUGCCACAAUUCUCAUUAACACUCUCACACCACAUAAAACUCAAAGACUUCGUUUCUUAGCCACAAUAGGAUAAAAGAGCUCAAUUAAGGCAUCUCGAAUAUUGUCCUCUCAUUUCCAUAACGAAUCUACAAAUAAAACUCGAAACUUUUAUAGUCUGCUGUUCGAGUAAUUUCCAGUUGCCACCAUAAGAUAGAUGACAAGUGGUUGCUAAAGGCGUUAAUUCACUCUCUUCUUCUUCUUCACUGUCGUCACCAUCCCUUCUUCUAGCCUCGGUUUCAGACACUCCUAUUGCUUUGUAGCAAAUGCAACUGCAACUGAUUGUGUUCUCUUUACAGAGUGUCACGCCAUGGUGGGUUUGUCUCUACAUGGCCUCUCUCGAGCUCGUCUCACUUGCAAACUGUACUCUUUCUUCCUUCUCUCAUCCCAAGAAUCUCUUCUCCAAUCGUCCUUUCCUUUCUUGUUCGAACACUACUCAUGCCCCAUUCAGUCACAAGCAUGGUCAAAGCUUCACAUUCUUCGACUCCCAUUAGUUCUCUGUCUGCGCUGCUUCCGGUUCUCCAAAUACUGAUACCAUGUGUUUAACCAUUGCUAGUUGGAAAUUCCGUUGGAUUCGUGCGUGGCCAAUUUCAUGGCUGAUGUUGAUCUUUUUUACCUGGUAAUUUUGAUGUUUUACUCUGGUCCUGAGAAACUGAUUAAAUCAUUAUGUUUCCUGGGAACAAAAUUCGUGUUGGCUGAAUUGAGUAUUUCUUCGUAUUCAGGAAUUCUUGGAGAUUUGGACUAGAAGCGACCUGUAAUUUGUAGCUUCUUUUUCUUCAUCAGAUUGCAGUAGUAUCAUUUUUUCAUGGUUCUUUCAAUCCCCUAUAGCAGCAUUUUCAUGUUCUUCCCCCAAUUUUUACUCCACUCUCUACACCUCGAAUUGGCACACCAUCUGUGCAGAUUAGCGGAAUCCUCUCCAAUGGGUGUCCUUUCUGUUUUCCGAUGAGUCCCUCCCUCUGCCUGCCGAGCCACAGCUCCAGCUUCCCAUUGUUACUCCUUCCAACUGCUAUGGUUUUGUUGGCUCGUGUGAUGGUUUGAUCUGCAUCAUAGAAGUCUCCAAUAGAAAUCCAGGAAAGUGACUUCGAAUUACAGUUUUCCUUUCGAAGUCUGCUGCAAGGUUCUGGAGCACUUCUUUAUUGACAGGAAUUCCAGUGAUUGGCAAUCUGAGUUCAACUGGCUCUUGCAAAUGGGGAGUGGCUAGCAUAUAGCUUAUUUGGAAGGCAAGCAAUAUUAUGCUUCAUGGUCAGGCAGCUACUUCUGUGAGGAUGUACUUAGAUUGAUCGAAGUUUUAGUUGAACAUCGAUUUGAAGUCCCUCUAGUUUCAAGAGGACAUUCUUAGAUGAAUCAAACUUGAAAUCUGUAUAGUUUAGCAUCUGCUUGAUAUAACGCAUUAGAUUUGCGUGGUUUGUGCUUGUUUGAGUUGUUGUCUCUAUCCUAGUGGGCUGCUUGUGGGAAUAUCCUCAUAAUGACCCCCUUGUUUCAUGAAGUUGGUGAUGCAAUUUAUAAACUUAUUUGGAAAAAGAAGUGCAGUUCUCCUCUA